CAUACCGUCUGCAAAAAAAAAGGGGGGAAAUCACAUUCCUCGCUUGUCAGAGCUGGACUCUAAGGUCUUUCUAAGGUUCAGGGUAGAGUACCGGGUGGUAGCUGGCUAGUAACAGGUUCAGGGUAGAGUACCGGGUGGUAGCCGGGUAGUAACAGGUUCAGGGUAGAGUACCAGGUGGUAGCCGGGUAGUAACAGGUUCAGGGUAGAGUACCGGGUGGUAGCCGGCUAGUAACAGUAACUAAGGUUCAGGGUAGAGUACUGGGUGGUAGCCAUAACAGUGACUAAGGUGCAGGGUAGAGUACCGGGUGGUAGCCGGCUAGAAACAAUGACUAAGGUUCAGGGUAGAGUACCGGGUGGUAGCCAGCUAGUGACAGGUUCAGGGUAGAGUACCGGGUGGUAGCCGGCUAGUGACAGGUCCAGGGUAGAGUACCGGGUGGUAGCCGGCUAGAAACAGUGACUAAGGUUCAGGGUAGAGUACUGGGUGGUAGCCGGCUAGUAACGGUGACUAAGGUUCAGGGUAGAGUACUGAGUGGUA
rnacentral:lncRNA from 1 species